UACGGCUCAGUAACACGUCGAUAAUCUGCCCUUAAGUCUGGGAUAACCUUGGGAAACUGAGGCUAAUACCGGAUAGGAGAUUCUUUCUGGAAUGAUGUUUCUCUUAAAGAUUACGCUUAAGGAUGAGUCGGCGGCGGAUUAGGCUGUUGGUGAGGUAAUGGCUCACCAAACCAGAGAUCCGUAGGGGCCUUGAGAGAGGUAGCCCCGAGAAGGACACUGAGAUACUGGUCCUAACCCUACGGGGUGCAGCAGGCGCGAAACCUUUACACUGCACGAAAGUGUGAUAAGGGAAUCCAAAGUGCUCAUGCUUUGCAUGGGCUUUUGCCAAGAGUAAAUAUCUUGGCGAAUAAGUGGUGGGAAAGACUGGUGCCAGCCGCCGCGGUAACACCAGCGCCACAAGUGGGGACCACAAUUAUUGGGCCUAAAGCGUCCGUAGCCGGUCUGAAAAAUCAAUUGUGAAAUCGUUUGGCCUAACCAAACGGCGCGCAGAUGACACUCUCAGACUUGGAACCGGGAGGAGUCAGAGGUAUUCUUGGGGGAGCGGUAAAAUGCUAUAAUCCCUUGAAGACCACCAGUAGCGUAGGCGUCAUACUGGAACGAGCCCGACGAUGAGGAACGAGAGCUAGGGGAGCGAACCGGAUUAGAUACCCGGGUAGUCCUAGCCGUAAACGAUGCAGACUGAGUGUCCCCGAAACCUCGGGUUACGGGGGUGCUGAAGGGAAACCGUUAAGUCUGCCACCUGGGAAGUACGGUCGCAAGGCUGAAACUUAAAGGAAUUGGCGGA
rnacentral:rRNA from 1 species